AUACCUGGAAGAAAUUUCAGCUAAUGCCGGAUACGUGGUCAACACAGAAGUGAUGAUCAUAAAAGGCGGCCUUAAAGCCGCGCUGAGGGAUGAACCUGCGGCGCAUUAGCUAGUUGGUGAGAUAAAAGCCCACCAAGGCGAGGAUGCGUAGCCGACCUGAGAGGGUGAACGGCCACACUGGAACUGAGACACGGUCCAGACUCCUACGGGAGGCAGCAGUAGGGAGUAUUCGGCAAUGGGGGAAACCCUGACCGAGCAACGCCGCGUGAAUGAUGAAGGUCUUCGGAUUGUAAAAUUCUGUGGUAAGAGAAGAAAGAUAUAAAGAGGAAAUGCUUUGUAUUUGACGGUAUCUUGCUAGAAAGCCACGGCUAACUACGUGCCAGCAGCCGCGGUAAUACGUAGGUGGCAAGCGUUAUCCGGAAUUACUGGGCGUAAAGAGUGAGCAGGCGGUUAGAUAAGUCUAUGGUUAAAUGCAACAGCUCAACUGUUGUUCGCUAUAGAAACUAUUUAACUAGAGUGCGGGAGAGGUAAGUGGAACUCCAUAUGUAGCGGUGGAAUGCUUAGAUAUAUGGAAGAACACCAGAGGCGAAGGCGGCUUACCAGUCCGUAACUGACGCUCAGUCACGAAAGCGUGGGGAGCAAAUAGGAUUAGAUAUCCUAGUAGUCCACGCCGUAAACGAUGAGAACCUGAUGCAGGAGAUAUUCUGUGUCGAAGCUAACGCGUUAAGUUCUCCGCCUGGGUACUACGUUCGCAAGAAUAAAACUUAAAGGAAUUGACGGGCGCCCGCACAAGCAGUGGAGCAUGGGGUUUAAUUCGUCGAUACACGAAAAACCUUACCAGGGCUUGACAUCCCGCUAAAAGCCUUAGAAAUAAGGAAAUAGUUAUAGCGGUGACAGGUGGUGCAUGGUUGUCGUCAGCUCGUGCCGUGAGGUGUUAGGUUAAGUCCUCAAACGAGCGCAACCCUUGUCUUUAGUU
rnacentral:rRNA from 1 species